rnacentral:lncRNA from 1 species
CUUUUGAGAAAAAAAUUAUAUUACUAUUAUAAACAAUCUAUUUCUCUGAGCACUGUGCAAAAUUGUACGUGUAUACAGUGCAAAACAGUAUACGUUUAGGCCAAUACGUUUUCAUUGUCUUAAUUUCAAACGGUAUACAGAACGUUCUCAUCAUUGUGCACGGUAAACCAGAGUUGGGUGUUGUUUCUUCUCUCCUAGCUGUUGGAUGGAAUGGAUGUGUUGCUGAUGAACACACCUGCAGCAGGAGUUUGAGGCUGAGAGCCUCAUAGGGACGUUCAGAAAUCUAACAGCAGAACAAUUCAGGAGGCUUGGCAACCUGACGUGUCUGUCAGACCCAAAGGACCUGCGGGUGUACAGAAACGCAGAGGCCUUCUCUGUGAUUCAGGACAACAUUAGGACGUGUUGUCCGGGGCCUCAGGAGCCCCAGGGACAUGAUCUCCAGCUUGUUCCUGAAUGGGAUUGAGCUUCAGUCUACUGGCUCUCUCUCAGCUGCCUCCCUUCUUGCCCUGGCUGGGUGUGGACUUCCUACAGAAGCUCAGCCCUGUGCUGACAGCCCUGGCCUCUGUACCCUUCACUCCUGCACAGGCCAGUGUAAUUGUGGACAAAGUGUCUCUAAACAACAGUCUGGCUCUGCCGGGGCAGCUGCAGAAGCUGGGCUCCCUGGUGAGUGGGGUGAAGGUUGAGACUCUGUGGAGCUUGCCCUCUGACAUCCUGUUGUCCUCGCUGCCUGACAUCGCCCUGCACACCCCCGGCUUCAACCCCCCACAGGCCAACACCAUCACCACCAAACUCUGGGACUCACCAGAGGUGACUGGCUGGUUGGAUAAGGUGGAGCCCCUGCUCCACAGCACCCCUCUACUCAGUGUGCUGACCAGGGCUAGUCUGCUGUUGACCAACAGGACCUUGGCAGGAAGACGAGCCUGGAACACUCAGCAGGCUAAAACUCUUUUUAAAGAAGCAGUGAAGACCAUGCCCAAUCUUUCCACUGAGACGUUUCUUGCCCUUGGAAGCAUUGCCCAAGGUGUAAGCUACACAGCCCUGCGACAGCUCUUCCGGGACAAGCCAUCAUUUUCCUCAAUGCGGAGUGUCCUUGCAUUCAAGAAAGAGCAGUCUGUUCCUCUCAUUCCUCACUGAAAAAGUGCAUCAGCUGUACUACUUUGACUUCUUCUCUGAGCUGCUGGGAGAGUUUGGCGCUCAGAUCGCUCUGGCCCUGCCGGCAUGUACACAGGAGAGUUCACUGAGGAUGAGUUCCGCUCACUGGGCAUCAUGGCGACCUAUGUAGUGGAUGGGGUGUUUGUGCAGCUGGUGCCGAGCUUCUUUGUGGAGAGCCUGGAGUUCCUCAGAGUUCUGCUAUAACAGCAGCAAGAGGGACAUCGUCACACAGAUCCUACAGGA